UACGUAGGGUGCAGGCGUUAAUCGGAAUUACUGGGCGUAAAGCGUGCGCAGGCGGUUUGCUAAGACAGGCGUGAAAUCCCCGGGCUUAACCUGGGAACUGCGCUUGUUACUGGCAAGCUAGAGUGUGGCAGAGGGGGGUGGAAUUCCAGGUGUAGCAGUGAAAUGCGUAGAGAUCUGGAGGAACACCGAUGGCGAAGGCAGCCCCCUGGGCUAACACUGACGCUCAUGCACGAAAGCGUGGGGAGCAAACAGG
rnacentral:rRNA from 1 species